UUCACAACCUUAGAAAUUAAUUGGAAAAGACACAACCUUCCAACAUAAAACUUUUAGAAAAGACACAACCCUUUACACUUCUUUUUCAAAAGACACAACCUUUCAACAUAAGUGGACUCACAACCUUUGGAAUUAAUUGGGAUUGCUAUUAUCUAUAUAUAAUAGCAAACUGAAUUUUAGUAUCCGCUGACGUCAUCCUUUUUUUAUAGGAAAAAAAAGAGAAGAUCUAACGUUUCAGAUUGAUUUGGUAUUCAAUCUAAGGGUUCUGUGUGUUCUAGGUGAUGUCAUCUAUUUGAAAAUAGAACUUAAUCCAAUGGUUAAAAUUAGCACACCUUUUAAUCUAAGGGUUGAGAUUAGACUUACCUUUUGUUUGGAAGAAGACGUCGCUACCGAAGCUUCGUGUGUCCGUAGUGAAGCAUUGCGUCCUUUAAUGGAGUUGUGACCCUUGGUUCGCAUCUCUUCCUCUGUUUAUAUUUGAUAACCAGUUUACUAUUCUUUUUUUCCUCAUUUUUUUAUUUCUCCUUUCUGUUUCGUUUUUUUCAAAACAAAAACUUUUUUUUUUCAAAACAAAAACUUGAAACAAAUUAUAGUUAGUUUUUAUCCUCGUUCUGUUGGCUUUGGGUCGCAUUGUUCUUUCUUCUCUGGUUUUAUCCGGAGAGUUACAUUGGUUUCAUUUGUCAAGUUGGCAUCUUCAACCGCCUUGGCUGGCUGAUUUCAACAGGGCGUAUGUUAUACCCAAUCCUGAGUCAGAGUUUCUGGUGAGAAACCGAGCAUAUGUUUCUCUGGGGAAUCGAAGUGGCUUUCAGUUUACUGUUUCAGAGUAAUGGAGUACAACGAAGAAGCUUCCCGUGUUUGACUGUUUUGUGCCACUGAAACAACAGGGAAUUGAAGAAGAGUGUUUUAGAGGGCACGUGUUGAGAGCAACAAAAAGUGUGGUGGUUAAAGAUCUUUAAGACAUAACCUUGGGUUGUUAUUGUUCAUCCAACUCAUCUGAUUAAGGUUUCACAGCCGUGUGUAGACCAGAAAGGAGAUUGGUAUCACUGAUUUUGCGGGUACGAAUGUGAUAAAUAUAAAACCAUCUUUUGACAAUAUACUAUAUGCAUUUUUUAAAAGAGAAUUGAUGAUAUCUUAUAAUUUAUUUUCCAAUAAUAUAAUGAAACUGUGCCAUAUAUAUUAUAUAAUGACUUUUAAGUAGAGUUGAAAAGUCUUUUUAAUGUAUUCUUCUGUAAAUAGUUUAUGCUAUUUAUGUUACAAUUUCAAAGAGUUUAUCUAACAGUUGUGAAGUUUGAAACUUAAUAAGGUAUAUAUUUCUAAACUUUUUACAUUAAAAUAUAAUUUACUAUUUUUGGUUAUAUUGAGGAAACUCAGUUUCAAAUUUUUUUAGAUUAUUACACUCCAUUCAGUGAAUGUUUUAAACAUCUUUCAUCUUCGAGAACUCUCUGCAACUUAUAUUUGACAUCACAUAAUAUUUAAUGCAUCAAUUGUUUCCUAUCUAAUGUUUAAUAAUAUUUUUUUGUAUUUUUGGUUUUAAUAAGGAGGAAACUCAGUUUCAAAAUUUUUUAAAACAUUAUUUUCUAUAAGAAAAAUUCUAAUUAAAUAUUUGUAGAUUAAUUAUUUAAACAGUAAAUUAUUACCUAAGGUUGAGACUAAAAGUUAAGGUCUCCAUUCGCAUGUAGUUACAUCUCUUAUAAUAGUCAUUUCAUUUUUUCAGAUUUUUCAUAUAUGUGUCUUCUACAAAGACCAUUUGUGUUAAAAUUAUACUAUGAUAAACAAAACAAUAACAAAACUAUAUUAUCACCAUUAUAUUCUCUCCACAAGUCAUCUACUGUUUAAUCUUCAAUCAGUCUUUUAUUAUUGUCAAUAUCUCAUACACCAGUUUUGCAGUCACUUAAUCACCAUUAUAAUUAUUUUUCAUUUAUAUAAUCUUUUGAUUGCUAAUCAGUAUUUUAAAAAUAAAUGAUUUCAACGGGGCGUAUGUUAUACCCAAUCCUGAGUCAGAGUUUCUGGUGAGAAACCGAGCAUAUGUUUCUCUGGGGAAUCGAAGUGGCUUUCAGUUUACUGUUUCAGAGUAAUGGAGUACAACGAAGAAGCUUCCCGUGUUUGACUGUUUUGUGCCACUGAAACAACAGGGAAUUGAAGAAGAGUGUUUUAGAGGGCACGUGUUGAGAGCAACAAAAAGUGUGGUGGUUAAAGAUCUUUAAGACAUAACCUUGGGUUGUUAUUGUUCAUCCAACUCAUCUGAUUAAGGUUUCACAGCCGUGUGUAGACCAGAAAGGAGAUUGGUAUCACUGAUUUUGCGGGUACGAAUGUGAUAAAUAUAAAACCAUCUUUUGACAAUAUACUAUAUGCAUUUUUUAAAAGAGAAUUGAUGAUAUCUUAUAAUUUAUUUUCCAAUAAUAUAAUGAAACUGUGCCAUAUAUAUUAUAUAAUGACUUUUAAGUAGAGUUGAAAAGUCUUUUUAAUGUAUUCUUCUGUAAAUAGUUUAUGCUAUUUAUGUUACAAUUUCAAAGAGUUUAUCUAACAGUUGUGAAGUUUGAAACUUAAUAAGGUAUAUAUUUCUAAACUUUUUACAUUAAAAUAUAAUUUACUAUUUUUGGUUAUAUUGAGGAAACUCAGUUUCAAAUUUUUUUAGAUUAUUACACUCCAUUCAGUGAAUGUUUUAAACAUCUUUCAUCUUCGAGAACUCUCUGCAACUUAUAUUUGACAUCACAUAAUAUUUAAUGCAUCAAUUGUUUCCUAUCUAAUGUUUAAUAAUAUUUUUUUGUAUUUUUGGUUUUAAUAAGGAGGAAACUCAGUUUCAAAAUUUUUUAAAACAUUAUUUUCUAUAAGAAAAAUUCUAAUUAAAUAUUUGUAGAUUAAUUAUUUAAACAGUAAAUUAUUACCUAAGGUUGAGACUAAAAGUUAAGGUCUCCAUUCGCAUGUAGUUACAUCUCUUAUAAUAGUCAUUUCAUUUUUUCAGAUUUUUCAUAUAUGUGUCUUCUACAAAGACCAUUUGUGUUAAAAUUAUACUAUGAUAAACAAAACAAUAACAAAACUAUAUUAUCACCAUUAUAUUCUCUCCACAAGUCAUCUACUGUUUAAUCUUCAAUCAGUCUUUUAUUAUUGUCAAUAUCUCAUACACCAGUUUUGCAGUCACUUAAUCACCAUUAUAAUUAUUUUUCAUUUAUAUAAUCUUUUGAUUGCUAAUCAGUAUUUUAAAAAUAAAUGAGUUAUGCGUGCUGCACUUGAGAAUUAUCAGAUUACUCAGAUUUUCACGAUACUCAUAUCAGUACUUCAGGCGCAACGUCACGAACCAAAAACUAAAGAAACAAAAUCAGGAAAAUAAAUACGAAACAAUGAAAAUUGAGUAGACUGAAAUACAAAAACAGGGAGAAAGUACAAAAUCAGAGACGACAUAAGUUGGAAUCAAUAAAUAAUCUGAGAAGAGAAUAAAGGAAAGCCACAAGCGGAUUCGUCGACCAAAAAAUAAGAAGCAGUUGACUCUACUCCUCCCACCCAUUACUAACCAUUCAAAAAGAGAUCAGAUCACAGAGACACUCAGAUACUGCAGAGACAAAUACUUAUACCAUAAUAGGAGAAAGAUAAACAAAAUUAAAGGCAGAAAUUAAUCGACAUAAGACAAGCAUAUAUGAAAACAAAGCUUUCUGAAUUGACGAUAGAUUGAAGCAAACGAAUAGUUUACAAACGAUUACGUUGAAAACGAUUCUAAGAUUCUGGGCGCAAAGAUCGAUGGAUUAAGAAAAGAUGUAUCGAAGAAGACUCAACGCAUUUAUGAAUUGAAUGUUCACCAGAAAAAUAAUUGACCAAAUUUGGGCCAGAGAGAAGAAAACCCCAGAGAAGAAGAAGAAGCAAAAGAGAGCCUUUGAUGAAUAAAUUACAAAAAAAAAGACUACAACCAUGUACCAUCGAUUUAUUAAUAAGUGUGAAAAGAGACGAC